UUGAACGCUGGCGGCAUGCUUUACACAUGCAAGUCGAACGGCAGCGGGGGCUUCGGCCUGCCGGCGAGUGGCGAACGGGUGAGUAAUGCGUCGGAACGUGCCGAGUAAUGGGGGAUAACGCAGCGAAAGCUGUGCUAAUACCGCAUACGCCCUGAGGGGGAAAGUGGGGGAUCGCAAGACCUCACGUUAUUCGAGCGGCCGACGUCUGAUUAGCUAGUUGGUGGGGUAAAGGCUCACCAAGGCGACGAUCAGUAGCGGGUCUGAGAGGAUGAUCCGUCACACUGGAACUGAGACACGGUCCAGACUCCUACGGGAGGCAGCAGUGGGGAAUUUUGGACAAUGGGGGCAACCCUGAUCCAGCCAUUCCGCGUGAGUGAAGAAGGCCUUCGGGUUGUAAAGCUCUUUCAGCCGGAAAGAAAUCGCGCAGGCUAAUACUCUGCGUGGAUGACGGUACCGGAAGAAGAAGCACCGGCUAACUACGU
rnacentral:rRNA from 1 species